CCCUUAGAUGUUCUGGGCCGCACGCGCGCUACACUGAGUGUCUGAGAUACGAGUCUGCCUGGUCCGGCAAGGUCUAGGUAAUCGCUAAAAGACACAUCAUGCUUGGGAUAGAUUAUUGCAAAUAUUAAUCUUGAACGAGGAAUUCCUAGUAAGCGCAAGUCAACAGCUUGCGUUGAUUACGUCCCUGCCCUUUGUACACACCGCCCGUCGCUACUACUGAUUGGAUGUUUAAGCGAGGUUCUCGAACUGCUAGCGACUUAGCUUCGGUGAGGUCGCAGUGUGGGAAGUGAACCUAGCUUUGGGGUCUAGAGGAAGUAAAAGUCGUAACA
rnacentral:rRNA from 1 species